rnacentral:rRNA from 1 species
UACAGAGGUCCCAAGCGUUGUUCGGAUUCACUGGGCGUAAAGGGUGCGUAGGUGGCCUGUUAAGUUGGGUGUGAAAUCUCCGAGCUCAACUCGGAAACGGCACUCAAAACUGGUGGGCUGGAGGGUCGGAAGGGAGACUGGAAUUCUCGGUGUAGCGGUGAAAUGCGUAGAGAUCGAGAGGAACACCAGUGGCGAAAGCGAGUCUCUGGACGACUCCUGACACUGAGGCACGAAAGCUAGGGGAG